rnacentral:rRNA from 1 species
GAGUUUGAUCUUGGCUCAGAUUGAACGCUGGCGGCAGGCCUAACACAUGCAAGUCGAGCGGUAGAGAGAAGCUUGCUUCUCUUGAGAGGCGGCGGACGGGUGAGUAAUGCCUAGGAAUCUGCCUGGUAGUGGGGGAUAACGCUCGGAAACGGACGCUAAUACCGCAUACGUCCUACGGGAGAAAGCAGGGGACCUUCGGGCCUUGCGCUAUCAGAUGAGCCUAGGUCGGAUUAGCUAGUUGGUGAGGUAAUGGCUCACCAAGGCGACGAUCCGUAACUGGUCUGAGAGGAUGAUCAGUCACACUGGAACUGAGACACGGUCCAGACUCCUACGGGAGGCAGCAGUGGGGAAUAUUGGACAAUGGGCGAAAGCCUGAUCCAGCCAUGCCGCGUGUGUGAAGAAGGUCUUCGGAUUGUAAAGCACUUUAAGUUGGGAGGAAGGGCAGUAAAUUAA